rfam:Populus trichocarpa scaffold_7_contig_150, whole genome shotgun sequence.
UCUAGAACUCGAGAUAUGGGCUGAACACUGAACAGUGUCUGGACUGUAGGACAGAUUCCGACUUCUCCGUUGUUGCUUCCAUUUGAACUCGAAAAUGGCACUUUUAAAUCUUGGACUUUUCAUGAAAGUUUUAGACCUAUGUCUUAGCUUUCCAUA